GGAAAGGUGGCCGAGUGGUUGAAGGCACCGCUCUCGAAAAGCGGCAGGUUAAUAGCCUCGUGGGUUCGAAUCCCACCCUUUCCGCCA
rnacentral:tRNA from 1 species